GGCUGUGGCUCCGUGGUAGAACACUCACCUACCAUGUGCGAGGCCCUGGGAUCGAUCCUCAGCACCA
rnacentral:tRNA from 1 species